UAAGAAGAAACAUCAAAUUACUAUAUAUAUAAACAAGGCAGGAUUUCCGCAACAGCUACAGCCAAUUACUGCGGAUCCUUCUUCACAAUAUUCGUUAAAUUAGUUAAGUUUACUGAACAGUAAACGGAAAAGGACUAAAUAAUAAAAUCAAUCAAUCAAUUAACGAACUGUUCAAUUGACGUGUUCAAUGAACCAACCAAGAGAUCAAGCAAUCAGACACUUACUUAUAAAAAUAUAUUUUACCAUUGGUAAAAGCAAAACCUUUCCAUACAAUGUAAUAGCACGGAUAUGAACAAACCUUAAAAAACACAGUGACUGAAAUUUACACACAAUCCAGUUUCAAAAUAACCUGAAAGAUGCCCGUCCACAGCCGCGAUCUGGAAUUACCUGGUAUGGAAAGGCCCUGGUUUUACCAAAAUAUAAAUAAU